rnacentral:rRNA from 1 species
UACGUAGGGUGCGAGCGUUGUCCGGAAUUAUUGGGCGUAAAGAGCUCGUAGGCGGUCUGUCGCGUCGGUCGUGAAAACUUGGGGCUUAACCCUGAGCUUGCGGUCGAUACGGGCAUGACUGGAGUUCGGUAGGGGAGACUGGAAUUCCUGGUGUAGCGGUGAAAUGCGCAGAUAUCAGGAGGAACACCGGUGGCGAAGGCGGGUCUCUGGGUCGGUACUGACGCUGAGGAGCGAAAGCGUGGGGAGCGAACAGG